rnacentral:rRNA from 1 species
GUGUCAGCCGCCGCGGUAAUACGUAGGGGGCGAGCGUUGUCCGGAAUUACUGGGCGUAAAGCGCGCGUAGGCGGGCAUUUAAGUCAGAUGUGAAACCUCUGGGCUUAACCUAGAGCAUGCAUCUGAUACUGGAUGUCUUGAGUGUAGAAGAGGAGAGUGGAAUUCCUAGUGUAGCGGUGAAAUGCGUAGAUAUUAGGAGGAACACCAGUGGCGAAGGCGACUCUCUGGUCUAUAACUGACGCUGAGGCGCGAAAGCGUGGGGAGCAAACAGGAUUAGAUACCCUGGUAGUCCACGCCGUAAACGAUGGGUACUAGGUGUUGGGGGUUUCGACGCCCUCAGUGCCGCAGUUAACACAUUAAGUACCCCGCCUGGGGAGUACGGUCGCAAGACUGAAACUCAAAUGAAUUGACGG